AUUGAACGCUGGCGGCAGGCCUAACACAUGCAAGUCGAGCGGGGUUUUCGGACCUAGCGGCGGACGGGGGAGUAAUGCGUAGGAAGCUGCCCGAUAGAGGGGGAUACCAGUUGGACACGACUGUUAAUACCGCAUAAUGUCUACGGACCAAAGUGUGGGACCUUCGGGCCAGCUGCUAUCGGAUGCGCAUAGGUGUGGAUUAGGUAGUUGGUGAGGAAAUGGCUCACCAAGGCGACGAUCUCUAGCUGGUUUGAGAGGAUGAUCAGGCACACUGGAACUGAGACACGGUCCAGACUCCUACGGGAGGCAGCAGUGGGGAAUAUUGGACAAUGGGCGCAAGCCUGAUCCAGCCAUGCCGCGUGUGUGAAGAAGGCCUUCGGGUUGUAAAGCACUUUCAGCGAGGAGGAAGGGUGGUGUGUUAAUAGCACAUCAUUUUGACGUUACUCGCAGAAGAAGCACCGGCUAACUCUGUGCCAGCAGCCGCGGUAAGAC
rnacentral:rRNA from 1 species